rnacentral:tRNA from 1 species
GCGAAAGUGGCGGAAUUGGUAGACGCGCUAGCUUCAGGUGUUAGUACCGCAAGGCGUGAGGGUUCGAGUCCCUCCUUUCGCACCA